GUUCCUUCCAAAGUUAAGAUCAGCAAUGUUAGCUUCAAGAACAUCAAGGGCACAUGUACCGACCCAGUUGCUGUGAAGCUUGCAUGCAGCCCAGGCCUGCCAUGUGAGAAUGUGGAAUUGAGUGACAUUGAUCUCAAGUACACUGGAGACAAAGGUCCUAUUACCUCUGUGUGUUCUAAUGUCAAGCCGACAAUUACUCGCGUGGCACAGCCUCUUGCUUGCGCUACCAGCGCUGCUGCUCCUGCUUCUGCUUGAUCUAACAAGCACAAACCAUGCUGCUGAUGUUUCUUCAGAGAUACAUUGGUUGUGUGCUCUUCGAUUUUGUGCUAAGUGUACUUGGUGUUUUCAUCUAAGAGGGGGAAAAUAUCUCAGUACAAUUUUUGUUACAUCUUAAAAGAGAUGAAUAAAUUAGUAGGAACUAGAUGAAAAUAAUCAUGGGAAAGAGAAAGAAAGUUUCAUUUGAUUAAAAAAGAAUGUUAUUGGAAUAUGAAUCUUCUUUGGAUAUUUGUUUAACCAAAUUUUCUAAAUUAGCCUCUUUAUUUAAUUGUUUCUGUAUGAAUGACCACCUCGACCAGUAGUGUGCUAGGAAGGGGAAGAGGGAGGGGUGAUUCAAUCCUAUGAUUUUUAUAUUUUAUGCAAGAAUAGAAGUAAAAACUUCAAAGAAAAAAGAAGAAUAAGGAUUAUUAAUUCAAGUAAUGUAUUGAGUUUAAAUACACAUUAAAAAAAGUGUAAACUGCCGAAUACCCCCUUGAAUUAUCACGCUUGUCGAAUCUCCACCCUAAAUUAAUUUUUCAGCCAAUUGAGCCUUUAUAUUAAAUUUCUUCUCCAAUUUCACCCUUGCCGUUAGCUUUUGACAAUUUCCAUCCAAAUCUUUGUGAAAAAAGUACUAUGUUAGGCAUAUACUUCACUGUUGAAUUAAAAAUUGAUUUUUUUUCUCUGGUUCUUCAAAGUGCUUGAAUGUGGGAGAAAUAAAUCGGGGGGAGUGGGGGAGAAGGGAUUUUGGUUUCUGCAAGUGGGGGUUGGGAGGACGGGGGAGGACAUGGGAUAUAUCUGUGGGUGGUGGUUGGUUGUUGGGAUAUUGUGGCAGAAGAAAUCAUAACGAGGGAGAAGAAAGCGGGGGAGGGGGUGCUGAUUCUGGGUUUUGCGGGUUUGGGGGAAUGGGGGAAACUAGAAUUUAUAAAAAAAAAGCUGAAACUAGAAAAGAACUCCAAGAACCAGCCAAACCCAAUCCUUGUCAAGCUUUAAACUUUAUGAACCACACAAAAUUGACAACACCCAAGGUGGUUCCAACCGUGAAUUCUCCACUCAAUUAAAAACUCCAUUUUAAUAAAAAAAUUAUUUCGACUUUUAAUUACUAUAUUGAAAGAAGUAAUUGGAACUUUUAAUUAUUUCAACACAAUCAGGGGAGGGGGGGAAGGGGGUUCUGGUUUCUACAAGUGUGGGGUGGGAGGAGAGGGGAGUGGUCUGUAGAGUGGUUGGGAAAUGGGGGAGAAGAAAUUGGUGGGAGGUUUUCUUUUUCUCUAUUUGAUUUUGUUAUUACAUUUUCCUUAUUCUUUGGGUAAAUUACUCAAAUGGUCCUCAAACUUAUACUCGAUUUGUAUUUUGGUCCCUCAAUUAAAUUAUUCGUUCAAAUGGUCCAUCAACUCUAUAUUAUUCGCUCCAUUAUUCCUACCGUUACAUUCUGUCAAUAUUUCUGUUAAAUAUGAGGGAAAAUUGGUCAUUAUUUACCCUAAAAUUAGGUUAAAUCUAACAGAAAAUUAGACAGUAGGACCAUUGGAGCUAAUAAUAUAGAGUUGAGGGACCAUUUGAACGAAUAAUUUAGUUGAAGGACCAAAAUGUAAAUCAGUUAUAAGUUUGAGGACCAUUUUAGUAAUUUACCAUUUUUCUUAAUACUAUACUUUGUAAAUUUUCAAAUUUACCCUUAUAUUUGAUGGGCAUUUGGAUGGAAGUAUGAAAAAGCUAACGGCAUGGGUGAAAUUGGCGAAUAAAUUUAAUACAAUGACUAAAUUGGUUGAAAAAUUAAUUCAGAAUGGAGAUUUGACAAGGGUGAUAGUUCAAGGGGGAUUCGACAGUUUAUACCCUUAAAAAAACUUAAAAAUUUGCCUUGAACAUUUGUUAUCUACUAUCAUUUGUAUUUUUUAUGCAAGCCAUAUUAAUCAUUCUUUCUUCUUUGUAGUUGUGGAUUAGGACAAAAAAAAUGUGCCAAUCCCCUUGCAAUAUGAAUCUUCUUUGGAUAUUUGUUUAACCAAAUUUACUCAAUUAGCCUCUUUAUUUAAUUAUUUCUCUUCCCAGAUAUUUAACAUCUUAGUAACUUUUUGAGUAUGCUAUCGAUUUAAGGCUAUUAAUAGUGCUUGGAAAGAAGCAUGAGCAUCCACAGCUCCGAACACGGUUGUGAUAGCAAAAGGAAAUUACAUGGCUGGUCCAGUGAAGUUUCAAGCAAAUCGCUGGCUAGCGUUCGAGUUGAAGGACCCCUGCAGGCUCUUGCAGAGCCAGAAAAGCUCAAGUCACAAGAUGGUUGGGUUGUUUUCCAAAAUAUUGAUGGGUUAACAGUCUCAGGAGGUGGCACUUUUGAUGGCCAAGGAUCAAUCGCUUAAUCCAAAAAUGAUUGUGCCAAAACUGGAAAAUGCAACUCACUGCCUAUAUUAAGUUUUUUUAAAUUUGAAGUGCACGUUUUUUUUAUCAAUCUUGUGAGCUAGAAACGGAGGCUAACAAAUAGAAUUUGCUCAAUUGGGUUCCUUGAAUGCAGAACAUAAGAUUCACAGGGCUCACCAAUUCACACUUUCAAGACAUAACAUCUUUGAACAGCAAGCUGUUUCACAUAAACGUCUUAAACUGUAAAAAUGUGACACUUCAACAUGUGAUCAUCACCACCCCUGGUGAAAGUCUAAACACAGAUGGAAUCCACAUAGACGGUUGACAGAGAUUUUCGAACACCUGAAAAAGAGUAUCCAAAAAUCUCAAAUUAAAUUACCUGCAAGCGAGGAGAGCACGUGUGUAAAAUAUUAGGGCGUGGGUUUUUCACGUUCAACUGUCAUCCCCUCAUUGGCCUAACAACGCUCGUUUUCAUCCACGUUCAGCCGUCGUCGCCCUCCUCGACUUGACAAGGCCUAGUCACUUUUCUUCCACGUCGAGUCGCUGCCGUUUCUCUUCCACGUCGAGUCGCUACCGUCACCCCUCUCUUUGAUUCUGGGGUUCUAGCCUCGUUGUUGUCUCUCUCAUAUCCUGGGUGUUGGUUUUGUCGUUCACUUUCUCCUCAGUGGGUUGGCAUUUCUUGUGGUUGUGUUAGUAUGGUGGUUUCAGCGGGUUUGCUACUGCUAUUGUGCCAACAGUCUCCAAGUCAACGACUAUGGUGCAAGCUGCUUCAUUGGGGUCAGCGGUCAUGGUGGAGGUGGCUUUCUUCACGCCUCCUUCGUCGCCCAAUCCGCAAUCUCAAGCCUUACAUUCAUGAGAAGACGACCGUUGUCCAAAGAUUUGGCGUGGGUGGCUACACCUAGGGUUUAUAGUUUUGGUCCUCCUUUUCACGGUGUUGGGCCAGGUUUUUGGAAACUCAGGUUGUUGGGUACCAUCCUUUUACCCAUAUUUCCCCUUUUUUUCAUCCGAUCCGGUUCGGUAUUCCGGUUUUCCGAUCCCGAUGCCCACCCCUACUUCUUAUAGACUAAGAAUACUGUCCAAAUGGCCAAUGCCAAGCGAAAAUCCCGUCGAAAAUUAAGAUAAACAAUGUGAGCUUUAAGAACAUUAGAGCACUUCUGCUGAUCUUGUUGUUAUGAAGCUUGCUUGCAGCAAAGGCAUUCCAUGCCAGAAUGUAUAAAUUAGUGACAUCCAUUUGACAUACAAUGGGAAAAAUGGUGCUGCCACAUCUAUGUGUACUAACGUCAAGCCCACUAUGACAAGCCAAAUUUUUCCACCUGCUUGUGGAAAGACUGCAGUUUAAUUUGGUACUGCUUUAAGGUGAUGAUUAAAAGAAAUUAGUAGGAAAAGAAAAUAAUCUGCAGAACGCCCCUUCAUGCUUAAUUAGAAUGGUGGGUAGUGGUGGACUACACUUAUGCAACAGUAUAGAUGUUAUGUUCUGUAUACAGAUGUUAUGGAUUUAGAUUAUGUACUAUUGUUAUUCAUGGGAAAGCAAUAUAUUAGUAGAGAGAUGUUAAAAAAAGUUUUACUUGAUUGGAAAAGAAAGUGGUUGGAAUAUGAAGCUAUGGAAAUUUUUUUCGAGCCAAAUUUACUCAAUUAGUCUCUUUAUUUAUUUAUUUCUUUAUGAAUGACCACCUCGACCAGUGGCGUGCUAGCCAGGAAGGGGUUGGAUGGUUCAUAUAUUUUUAUGUUUUAUAUGCAAGAAUCGAAGUAAAAAACUUUAAAAGAAGAAAGAUUAUUUGAGUAAACAGUUAAAUUUAAAUAGACCUUUACCAUAAUUUGCAUUUUUUAUGCGCCAAUUAAUCAUUCUUUCUUCUUUGCAAAUGUGGGUUAGGCGAGUGUGUCAAGAAUCGAAAUAACUAUGAGAUUUAAAACAGGUUUUCCGAGUGUGUUUUGGGUUGCCACAAUGAGUGCAUCCACUCACGUUGGUCAAAGCCCAUGGUCGAGGAGGUUGUGUAGUCGGGCGUGAAGGCGAGCCAACAGCCGUGAUAUAGGACUGUAUCUGAAGCGGCACAACGAUAGAGGAAGGCAUCUGGCCGGGCUGACCGGUCGCCGAGGUGUGGCCGACUAGUUGGUGAGUUCCCUUGGCCGCCAAACCAGCCGCAGUCGGCACCUGAGUACCCAUCAUCACAACUUGUAAGAGAUCUUCGCGUCAGACAUAAGCAUAUGCCCACUCCACGGUGGGAAACGAAGCCAUCUGAAGGACAUCACUUCGGGCCUUAUCAAGUCGGUCAUCCAAGCCAUCCAAGAAGAUAUAAACACAGUCUUCUUGGAGAAUGUCGUUGUAAUAAGUUUCAAUCGAGCCACAUGCUUGUCACAACUGUUGACUCUGUCGUUUAAGGUCGUACACCUAAGGGGUGUACGUGCCAUCAAAGUAGAUCGUGGCAAUCGCCGUCAGAAAUCAAAUAAAGGUGCUAAUCAAGCGAGGGUCUGAGUAGGUGUCCCAACUUGUCUUUGCCAUCGACAUACAUCUCGACAACUUCGGACCAAAUGGGGUAGUUGGAGCCAUCCAACUUGAUUCCAAUAUGUGCGGAAGCUUCGGGGUCAACUAUACCAUGCUAAAUAUGAGAACCUAUGAGAACAUAUUGUUUGUGGGAAUUUUCUGUUUAUUCUUCUCCUUGUAAGAGGCCAUAUUUAUAGUACAACAUAUAUAUAUAUACAUUUUCUGUUUAUUCUUCUCCAUGUUAUUAGGAACGUAAUAACUCCUAAUUCUAUUUACAGUAAGAAAUCAUGAAUUAAAGUAAAUCAAUUACAUCUAAUAUAGGAAUUCUUGGCGUAUAAGAAAAGUAAAUGCAGGUCCACAAGUCAUGCGAAUAUAUACAACCAUACUAUUUUUCAAAUUUGUAUCAACUUUCUCACAUGGAAGAUGUCUACCAUUUUUACAAAUAUUAAUGAGUCUCACCAGCUAAAUAAUAUACACGGUAGAAGUUGCACGAAAACAUUGUUUGCAACAAAUUGAUGGCUCUUUCAACGGAAAAACCUAUAGUUAGAGGGGAAAAGAAACAAAAAAGCUUGCCUUGGACAAAAGUAUAUAGUAAUUUGGUUUGAUAAUUUUAGUGGCUCCCAACCGGACAAUAUAUAAAUUGGGUUGAAACGAAAAUGGAGUACAUAAAACUUAACUCACCUUUAAUCAUUCUCAACAUCACGAUUUACUUGAUGCACCAAACAAGGCUCCUUCUGUUCCAUUAUUCGAAACCUCAAACUUGACAUAACCACAAUCAACCCUCAAUAGCAUUCUCUAUCUCCCAAUCAGUUCCACCGAAAAACCGUGCCUCACUAUGACAGGACCCGACCCAAAUUCCACUUUGGAAUCUGAAUCAAACCCUGUGCGUGUUCGACACCUGGCCGGUGCCGAGCACACUUAACCAAAUUGCCCUUCUAACUAAUAUUCACAAUGGGUUAUCUACUAUAGACAUCACUGAACUUGGCCCCUAGUUGCAAUUGGAUCCAUGAACCUUUUUUUUGCGGCAAUUACAUCCGUUAACUCGAUAAAUAGUUCCCACUGUGGUCCUGCCAUUGAACUCUAUCAAUUUGUCUGUUAAAAUGAGGGAUAAAAACGUCCUUUCGAGAAUGGAUUGAACAUAACCACAAUCCAAAAACAAAAUCAGAUGGAAAAAAAAUUCCCAAACAUGACUAGAAAAACGAAACACCUAAAACCCAUAAGAAAAUCAUGAUCUAAUCACAAACACCAACAAAACACAAUUCACAAGCUUCACACACUCGUAAAGUUCUCGGGUUUACUUAAAAACUAUACAUUUGAAGUUCCAAUUGGCUGAAUUUCGCUUCAAAGGUACAAAUUCAGCUGCAUGCACUAAAUGGGUCUUUGAAUUUAUACUCUUUUUGUGUGUUUGGAUAAGUUUGCAAUAAUGGGUUGUUGAAUUUAUGUUGCUCUUUUUGUGUUCACUGCCAGUUUUCCUGGUUUUGCUUUUAGAUAUUAUAACUAGUUUACCUCUUUCAGUGUCUCUGUUUCUUUUGUUGUGUUUUGUUGGUUCUGUUUGUAAAUAUGGAUUCUUGUAAUGUUCGCUGGAGUUCUUACUUCACUCCACUUCCACUGUGUCAUCGAAUUGAAAGAGAAAGCUUGAUUAUUGUUUUUCAGCGAUAAUGUAAAGGUGGAGGUAUACCUGAAUGGACUCUCUACACAGGAUUGGGGAUAACUGUUUGUGUUUGUCCAGUCUCUCCCUCUCUCCUGCAACCCAUUCCCCCUCCUCCUUAGCCCACCCCCUCAAAACUCAGAUCCCAACCCAACCUGCAACCCACCCCCCAUCUCCCAACCCGCAAAACCCAGAACCCACCGAGCUCAGGAUGGCCAGCUCCGUUGUGAUUCUAUUUCUCCAAUUUUCCCCUAAUUCUUUUGAGAUGUUCAUGUCUUGAAAGCUUUCAAAAAUUUCUCCUUUUGUUUGUUGUUUGUUGUUGUUAAUAGAGCCAAGUAAAUCCUAUGUGGUUUCUACCAAUCACAAACUCUUCGAUAUGGAUUUGUAUUGUAAACUUGUGAAGAUGGAGGUGGGGUUGUUAGGGUUGAUGAUGGAUAAAGAAGGUGGAGUUGGGGUCAAUGAUGGAUGAAGAACCCGAAAGGACGCUUUUACCCUCUCACUUUGACAGAUAAAUUAACAGAGUUGGACGGUAUAACCCAAUUGAAACUAUUUAUCUAGUUAACGGAUGUAAUUGCCUCAAAAAAAAGUUCACGGACUCAAUUGCAACUGGAGGCCAAGUUCAGGGACGUCUACAGUAGAUAACCCUAUUCACAAUCUUUUCAAGUUUGACUUUUGCAGAAAAUUCGGCAGUCUCCCUUGUAAAUUGCUCGUUUCCCAAAAAUUUUACCUGUAUAAAACAUGAUUUUAUAAUCCCAAACAUUCAGCAUGCACAAUAAUAGAAUUCAUGCAACCAAUCAUCAAAUUUUUAUGGCAUCGGGCCUCUUUAUACCGAAUAAAUCAUUCUGCUAUCUGUAACUGAUCCCAACUUUUAGAACAACAUGAAUAUGUUAUCAAAUUUCAAAAUAACUUACUGAACAACCUUUCAAUCACUUUAUCUUGUGGCUGCACCUAGUAACUCUAGGUUGCCUACAUACCCUUACCAAGGGAUCAAGCCACACGUAGUUCUUUCACUUAUUAUAUUUACACAUAAUUAGGCUACACAAAGAAUUUCCUCAAAUCCAUGAAUCAAUUUAUAUUUUUCUCACGUAAAUCAUAUGUAAUAACAAACAAACUCAUAAAACGCUUUUAAUUCUUCCUUCAAAGCUCACAGAAAACUCAUGUACACGAAUGAAGAACAAAACCAUUCAUUACUUGCCUCAUAAAAUCAGAAAAGCAGUUAUUAAAACUUUUACCCAAAAAUACCAAGAGAAAAUCCUCAUUUUUUGUUUAAACCUCUUAAAAACCCAAAUAUUCUCCACCUAGGCGUACUCCCAUUCAUAUUCCGUCAAUUCCUUUAAUAUACCGUCAAUUACUAUAAUUUUCCGUCAAUUCCAAUAAUGUACCGUCAAUUCCUUGUGUCACAUAAUGUGACAAAUCCUCUCAAGCCUCGCAAACACAAAGUCAACCUGAGCCGCAAUCCUCGCACCACACGGUUCAAGUGUCCCUGAAACUUGUGGGGCAUUAUCAAAAAUAACAAAGUUGUUUCAAGGCAACUGGGGGGUACCCUCGGGUGGGUUUGAAAACCUUAUACCAAAACUCAUCCUAAAAUUUCUCAUACUCCACAAAUCCAUAUUUCAAAUCUUUUCUUAACUUCCCAAAAAUCAGUACUCAACUACCUUAGAAUUUACACUCCAUACUGUUGAGAACUUGUGUCCAUAACUUAUCUUUUCAAACCACUAUGUGUGUGUGUAUAUAUAUACACACAAUUCACAUAACCAGUCAAUAACGUUCCCCAAAUUCAUAUUAAUAUAUUUUGUCCAAAUACUUCAUCAUAAUAUGCAUCGAAAACUUCUCAAACAUAUAUAUCCAUAUUCAAAACAACCAUGACCCUUAAAAUCAAAAUAGUCAAAAUUCCACUUUUAAAACAAUGUACUUCUCGAAGGGUGAAACUACCUCAGAAGACUCACGGUCAAUUGAGGCUCAAACUUUAUAAAUUGGGUCAACCGGGCCUGCAGGGCCCAUGACCUCCCAUUUUCGAACCAAGAGUUCCUACGGCUUCAACAAGGUUUACUAAACCUGUCAUGCUAGUUUGGUCCGAAUCGAACGGUCGGAUCGCUCACGAUCGGACGGUUAUCCUUUAUCUAAACUUUGAAUUAUUGAAUCGGAGUAUUCAAGACUCCGAUUCUCGAUCCGCAAAUUUCUAUACGAUCCUAGAAGUGCCUAGAUCAACAUAUUCAAAAAUAAAGUCGAUCCCACGGUCCGAACAUAUCGAACCAAGAUUACGCCCAAUAUGCGAUAUCCGAUCGACGACCAACCGAUAACCAAAAUCAUAUCCGAGCAUACCGUCAUGCUCAGGACGACAUGAUGAUUAUUUUAGGACUCAAGGACAGGCCAAAAAGUGAUCCACGGGCCGCCACACGCGCCGGCAGCGCGUGGUUGUCCAAAGCGAUUCAGCAAUCGGAAAAUCUCCAAACCGUCGGUCAAGACUUAUACCUACAUAAUCAGCACAUAGAGUGGAGCAACUUUUGAUCUUGGACCUACCCCAAAAAGUCGACGGAAGUGGCCCGAAUCGGAGGCCGAAAUUCGACCAAACUUUAUUUACGUCUCAAAACACAGAAAUUUCUCCUAACCAACACAACCAACAGCUAGAACACCUCGAGAGGUUGAGAAAGCAUACUUGGAUCGACGGAAAUGGUAGCCGGAAACGUUCAAAAGAGCGUCAGAAAAUUCUCACAGAAACCGGUCAGUUUUCUGGUUUUUUCCGGCCAAAACCGACGGCUGGGGCGGCUGGGCUGGGGCGGGGCUAGAAGAGGAAGAUCUUGCGGUCCUUUUGGGACAAGUACCGCCCCAAGUGGUGGCUCUUGAUGCCACCGACUGGGAAGAAAAAUCCAAGACGGGGGGUGGUUGUUCUGUCGCACGAAAACAGAGAGGAGAGAGAGAGAGAGAGAGAGAGAGAGAGAGAGAGAGAGAGAGCGUGAUAUCAGAUUUUUAAAAUACCUUUUUUCAAAAAAUGUAUGAUUUUGCCACUAUAUUUUUCAUCGUAACUUCUUCGUUACAACUCAGAUUUGAGUCCACUACGUGUCUACGGACUCAUCUCGACGUGCUCUACGUAAAAGUAUAAUUGAAAUCCCCAGAUUCCAUCCCGAACAAAAAGUCAACUUUUAAACCAUUAAAAUAUUUUAAGGGUAAAAUUGUCUUUUAUUUGAAUAAAUUAAUAAUUAAAAAUUGAUUUAGGAUCGGGUUGUUACAUGCUACAUACGAAUUCUAUAGUGAGGGCCUUAUAUCUAAGGCCCUUAGAUGAUCUCUUCGCUGUUAGAUUAAAUUAGUUAGCCAUUGGAUCAAAUUGGUUAGUUUGAUCCAACGGUUAAGAGAUAUGACGUCAUAGCUUUAAUUUGAGCUGCGAAUCCUACCCUGGAAACAUAAUUUGUGCUGCGAUCUGAUUCCAUCAUUAAAUAAAUUGACGGAUAUGAAUAUUUGUCCAUCUGUAAUAGAAAUUACAUUAGUAGGAAUAUAAGACAAAACGUCUCCCGAUUGGGUCUCAACUAUUGGUAAAGCGUGCCUUAGAUAAGGCCCUCACUCACUCCUUAUAAACCCAGGCCAGGUCCCUUAACUUUUCAAUGUGAAUACAAAACGAAUAUCCAAUAGUUAUUUCUCUUGUCACAACUGCUUUGUUACAAAUUAUGGUCAAGAAUUUAUUAGUUUGAUUAGUGCGUUCGGAAACAAUUUUUGGUUUAUGAAAAAUCAAUUUUGUGUAAGUAUUUUUUUUGUUAAUCUUCGCACCAAAUUGGAUUAUAACAGGUUUAGUACUUUUGGUUUAUAAGUCAUCCAUGUCAUAAAUCUUUUCUUUCUAAUCUGACAUAGUCUUGGAAGAAAAAAUCUUUUGCCCAAAUUGGAAACUGAGCGAAGAGCCAUUGUAGGUAAUUCAUGUUCUAAAGCUGAGCAGCUUAAUUAAUUACUAAUUAUAGGAUGGUUGACCUACAUUCAACUUCUUAAUUGGCCAAAUAAAUAUUAACGGUGUUGAGCUUUCCGAUGGGAGUAUAAAUUGGGCUGAAAGCAAUGGAGUUUCAUCAUACUCCAAACAAAAAGGAAAUAACAAAGUCUCAAGAUGGGUUUGAAACUGAAAAAUGUCUUGCCAAUGUUUGUGUUCUUGUUGUUAGCAUCCACAGCUAAAGCUCAAUCUGCUGCCUUAGAUGUGACAAGUGCAAAAUAUGGUGGAAAGCCAGGCUCUGAUAUUACCCAGGUAACAAAAACAUUUGUAUUCAUAUUCGGUUCUGAUUAGAAUUUGUUUCUACAAUUGUUUGCCAAACUAAAUCAUUAACAGUUUUAAAUUUGCGUAAUGUUAAUUAGGCUUUAGAGAAGGCUUGGACAGACGCAUGUGCAUCAACAACACCAAGUAAAAUUGUUGUUCCAAAGGGAAUAUUCAAGUUUGUAGGAACAACUUUUAAAGGUCCUUGCAAGGCUGCUAUUGAGUUUCAGCUCCAAGGAACAUUGCAGGCUCCAGUAGAUGGCAGCCAGCUCCCGAAGGACGACACUUGGAUUGGUUUUGACCACGUCGACGGGCUCACCUUGUCAGGUGGUGGAACUUUUGAUGGCCAAGGAGCACAGUCUUGGAAAAACAAUGAUUGCAACAAAAAUAGAAAAUGCAAAUCUAAACACAUUGUAAGAUGAUUUAAUCCGACCAUGUUGUUUUAUAUACCUGAAAAUCUACCUGUGUCGCAUAGGAACGUUUGCGAAAUCUUGCUCAUUGAUCAAUUCUUGACUUGAUGAUACGUGAUCCAGAUUCACAGCCUGACAAUAUAAACAUAUUUGGGUCUGAUUGGUUUUCUUAAUAUAUGCAGAAUUUGAGGUUCCACGUACUCACCAAUUCCAAAAUUUUGGACGUAACUUCGAAGGAUAGCAAAAAUUUCCACGUCAAUCUUCAGAAGUGCGAGAAGGUUGAAAUCAAUGGAUUUACCGUCUCAGCACCUAAGGAAAGCAUGAACACAGAUGGAAUUCACAUCGGUCGUUCAACUGGGAUCAACAUCACUGACACAACCAUCGGAACUGGGGAUGAUUGUAUUUCGAUCGGUGAUGGUACCAAGGACCUCACCGUGACCAACGUUACUUGCGGGCCAGGCCACGGCAUAGCCAUCGGGAGCCUUGGAAGGUACCCAGAGGAAGAACCUGUGUCCGGCAUCUAUAUUAAGAAAUGCACCUUGACUAAUACAACGAAUGGUGUGAGGAUCAAAACAUGGCCUGCUUCCCCAAAAGAUAGCACUGCCUCGGAUAUUCACUUUGAGGAUAUUACCAUGGUUAAUGUUGGUAACCCUAUCCUCAUUGACCAAGAGUACUGCCCAUGGAACGAAUGCAAAAAAGGGGUAUCUAUCUAUAACAAUUUAUUAACAUCAUAUAUAUGUUCCUUGUUAAUCAAGUCAUCAUUUAUUUAAUCUUUAAAAAGAUUUAAACUAAUCAAUUAAUGAAUGGUUUUGUGUAGGUUCCUUCCAAAGUUAAGAUCAGCAAUGUUAGCUUCAAGAACAUCAAGGGCACAUGUACUGACCCAGUUGCUGUGAAGCUUGCAUGCAGCCCAGGCCUGCCAUGUGAGAAUGUGGAAUUGAGUGACAUUGAUCUCAAGUACACUGGAGACAAAGGUCCUAUUACCUCUGUGUGUUCUAAUGUCAAGCCGACAAUUAAUCGCGUGGCACAGCCUCUUGCUUGCGCUACCGGCGCUGCUGCUGCUUGAUCUAACAAGAACAAACCAUGCUGCUGAUGUUUCUUCAGAGAUGCAUUGGUUGUGUGCUCUUCGAUUUUGUGCUAAUUGUACUUGGUGUUUUUAUCUAAGAGGGGGAAAAUAUCUCAGUACAAUUUUUUGUUACAUCUUAAAAGAGAUGAAUAAAUUAGUAGGAAUUAGAUGAAAAUAAUCAUGGGAAAGAGAAAGAAAGUUUUAUUUGAUUAAAAAAUAAUGUUUUUGGAAUAUGAAUCUUCUUUGGAUAUUUGUUUAACCAAAUUUUCUCAAUUAGCCUCUUUAUUUAAUUGUUUCUGUAUGAAUGACCAUCUCGACCAGUAGUGUGCUAGGAAGGGGAAAAGGGAGGGGUGAUUCAAUCCUAUGAUUUUUAUUUUUUAUGCAAGAAUAGAAGUAAAAACUUCAAACAAAAAAGAAGAAUGAGGAUUAUUAAUUCAAGUAAUGUGUUGAGUUUAAACACACAUUAGAAAAAGGGUAAACUGCUAAAUACCCCUUUGAACUAUCACGCUUGUCGAAAUCUCCACCCUAAAUUAAUUUUUCAGCCAAUUUAGCCUUUAUAUUAAAUUUCUUCUCCCACUUCUCCCUUGCCGUUAGCUUUUGACAAUUUCCAUCAAAUCUCUAUGAAAAAAGUACCAUGUUAGGCAUAUACUUCACUGUUAAAUUAAAAUUUUAUUUUUUUUCUCUGGUUCUUCAAAGUGCUUGAAUGUGGGUGAAAUAAAUCGGGAGGAGAGGGAAUUAUGGUUUCUGCAAGUGGGGGUUGGGAGGACGGGGGAGGUCAGGGGAUAUAUCUGUGGGUGGUGGUUGGUGGUUGGGAUAUGGGGUCCGAAGAAAUCAGAAUGAGGGAGAAAAAAUCGGGGGAGAGGGUGUUGAUUCUGGGUUUUGCGGGUUAGGGGGAAUGGGGGAAACUAGAAUUUAUAAAUAAAAAAAAAGCUGAAACUAGUCCAUCAACUCUAUAUUAUUCGCUCCAUUGUUCCUACUUUUACAUUCUGUCAAUAUUUCUGUUAAAUAUGAGGGAAAAUUGGUCAUUAUUUACCCUAAAAUUAGGUUAAAUCUAAAAGAAAAUUAGACAGUAGGACCACUGGAGCGAAUAAUGUAGAGGUGAGGGACCAUUUGAACAAAUAAUUUAGUUGAAGGACCAAAAUGUAAAUCAGGUAUAAGUUUGAAGACCAUUUCAGUACUUUGCCCGUUUUCUUAAUGCUAUACCUUGUAAAAUUUCAAAUUGACCCUUAUAUUUGACAGACAUUUGGAUGGAAUUGUGAAAAAGCUAACGGCCUGGGUGAAAUUGACGAAUAAAUUUAAUACAAUGACUAAAUUGGCUGAAAAAUUAAUUCAAGAUGGAGAUUCGACAAGCGUGAUAGUUCAGGGGGGAUUCGACAGUUUAUAAUCUUAAAAAAACUUAAAAAUUUGCUUAUCUACUAUAAUCUGCAUUUUUUAUGCGAGCCAUAUUAAUCAUUCUUGCUUCUUUGUAGUUGUGGAUUACGACAAAAAAAUGUGCCAAUCCCCUUGCAAUAUGAAUCUUCUUUGGAUAUUUGUUUAACCAAAUUUACUCAAUUAGCCUCUUUAUUUAAUUAUUUCUCUUCCCAGAUAUUUAGUACAUUGUAUAUGUUGUCUGUUGUGAAUGCGAGCAUCUAUCUUAACAUCUUAGUAACUUUUUGAGUAUGCUAUCGAUUUUAGGCUAUUAAUAGUGCUUGGAAAGAAGCAUGCGCACCCACAGCUCCGAACACGGUUGUGAUAGCAAAAGGAAACUACAUGGCUGGUCCAGUGAAGUUUCAAGGGCCCAGCAAAUCGCUGGCUAGCGUUCGAGUUGAAGGAACCCUGCAGGCUCUUGCAGAGCCAGAAAAGCUCAAGUCACAAGAUGGUUGGGUCGUUUCCCAAAAUAUUGAUGGGUUAACAGUCUCAGGAGGUGGCACUUUUGAUGGCCAAGGAUCAAUCGCUUAAUCCAAAAAUGAUUGUGCCAAGAGUACUGCCCAUGGAUCGAAUGCAAAGAAGGGGUAUCUAUCUAUAACAAUUUAUUAACAUCAUAUAUAUGUUCCUUGUUAAUCAAGUCAUCAUUUACUUAAUCUUUAAAAGGAUUUAAAUUGAUCAAUUCAUGAAUGGUUUUUUGUAGGUUCCUUCCAAAGUUAAGAUCAGCAAUGUUAGCUUCAAGAACAUCAAGGGCACAUGUACCGACCCAGUUGCUGUGAAUGCCUGCUGUUAAUGUAUGCAUUUUGAGUUUUUUCUUUUGGCUUCCCUAGACAAUUUUGUAAUAGGACAAUCAUUGUAGUUUCCCAAGCUCUAAGUUUAGAUUAAGAAUUACUUCUCUAGGUGUUCUUAUCUGCCUACAUUCUGAUGGAAAACAAUGCGUUUAACAAAGGUAAAUUCUGCAUUACACUACAUUGCAUUCACUAAAUUUCUGAAGAUUAUGACUAGUCAUCUUUCCUUCGUAUGACUAGUCAACCUUUGUUUCAAUUAGGAUUUCCAGCUCACUGUUUCCAGCUGGGGCUUAACCAUUUUUCUACGAAUUUCUCAGCUGCCAUGUGUCUAUUCUGACCUGAGAAUUUUUGGUAAAAGCCAAAGAAUUCCUCAUUUGGCAGCCGUCAUUUUUGUAGGCAAGUUUUGGAAAGUUUCUCUGUAAACUUUCUCUUCUUCCUCAAGUGUAACCUUCAUAUUUUUCAUCUUUGAGUUUUCCAAAAUGUUCCUUUUUGAAAACUGCAUUUGAAAUACGAAAACCUCAUCUUGCAAGAUCAAACACUCUCUCAUAUAUAUCUAGGUCAGAUUCAAGAUUGAUUUCUUCAAGAGUAUGGUUUCUUGAAGAAAUUGGUCAUUCUCCUUUGAAUCCAAAUUUUGGUUUCUGUCUGAGUUGGAACUUGCAAGCUGGUGCCAUUGGAUGAAUGAGCUGGAGAAUGAGCUGUCAUUGCCAUGAAGAACUGAGCUUCAAGCUUUGCUAAGUUAGAGAAGAAGAUUGCACAAAGGAGGCAUAGCUCAUCUUCCUAAAUAGAUCUAGGUUUUUCUUGAGCUUGCUUGUGUUCCUUUGUAAGAAUCUUUUUCUACUUAGUGGAUUGCAUGGUCGGUUGAUGACCCCUAGUUUUUCCCAAUGGUGGGUUUCUGGGUGAACAAUUUCUGAUUGCAUCUCUGUAAUUUUUCUGGGUUUCUGUUCUUGGUGGUUGACUAGUCAUCGUAAGAAUUCUGGGUUGUGUUCUUGGUGGUUGACUAGUCAUCGUAUGAAUUGUGGUUGACUAGUCAUUGUAUGAAUUCUGAGUUUGUGUUCUUAGUGGUUGACUAUUCAUUGUAUGAACUCUGGGUUUGUGUCCUUAUAGUUGACUAGUCAUCAUUAUCUGUUGUUUGGUGUUUACUUGAUUAUGAUGAUUUCACACACUUUCACCAUAGUUGUUGCUAGCACAGGGGAUGCCUAGAUUGACGGGUCCUUCUGAGUGCCUAGGUUGUCACUAGUAAUCUUCUAGGGUUGCAGGUACAUUGUGGCAUGCUCUGUGUGUAUUCUUGAUUGUGGUUGUUCAUGCCUAGCAGUUGACUAGUCAUAAGUGUACUUGGUCAAGGUCUGAAGUGUGUGAAGAUUGUUGCGUUUUGUUUAAGUGUCGUAAAAGUUAACCCUUGUCACCUAAGUACCAAUUUCAAUUGGCACUACUACAAAAAAGAAAAAAGACGACGGUAAAUCACCGUCGUGUAUUCGGUUUUUCAAUGGUCGUGGAAUCCACCGUCAUCUUUUCCCUCAUAAACCACGACGCUAAAUCACCGUCGUUGUUAAAAUAUACAACGUCAUCAACAAAUACAAAACGACGUCUUUGUACUGCAAAAAGAUCUAAAAAAGCAGUCGAGGAUGAGAAUAGACGACCAACUCUCUAAAAAAACCGUCAUUAAAAAGGAAAAAUAUGACACAUAUUAACAGAACAAGGCCGCAAGAUAGACAUACAACGACGAAAAUUAAAACAAGACGCCGUUAAAUAUCAUUAUCACGACAAUAAUCCUUCCCCGACGUGAUAUGAUGACGUCGUAUUUUUUAACGUUCAGAUUAUAUAUCUCGUUUUUUAGACGUCGGUAUUAUGGGAUUGGAGUCGUGUUAUUUUGAAUUACGUGGCGGUUCUUAAUCCUUCCCCGACGUGAUAUCCUGAAUAAUUCUUCACAAUAGCGUCGUGGUUCUUCAUUAUUACGUUGCUUUAAGACGUCGGUAAAUAUGCUGAAUAACUGGUUCACAAUAACGUCGUGUUUUAUUUGAACGUAGAAAGUGAAGAAAUCACAUUACAAUAUAUUACAAAAUUAAUGUCAUACACUGCCAAUUACAUAAGCAUCAUUCAAUCCAUAUAUCUUCACACCCAUCUCGAAUAUUUUGACCACCUAACUCACCCACCAGUUCAUCAAAUGUGUCAACAUUUGGCAUCCUUCUAGUAAAUGGCUCACACUCAAUUAUCACAUCACCUAAUACUUCAUCACCAAUAACAUCAUUAUAUUCUCUACUAGGCAUUGAUAACACUACCGACCAACCACGAUGCAUCGGGUCGUCAACAAAAAAUAUUUGUUUGACUUGAGAAGCCAAAACAAAUUGGUCAUUCCUAUGUCCAAUUUUACUCAAAUCUACAAGGGUAAAUCCAAGUUCGUCAACUACAAGACCAGAACUAUCUAUCCAAUCACACCUAAAGACUGGGAUUGUAAACUUUUGGUAGUCAAGGUCCCAAAUUUCUUGAAUGACACCAUAGAAACCCAUAUUUGAGAGAAUUGGGUUUUUAUCCUUGGCACUAGCAACUUGCAUGGUAUGUGCAAGUAAAUAAACUCCACUAUUUUGAGUUGUCCGCACAUCAUCUUGUGCCUUGAUAUUGAAUUUAAUACCUUUAAUAAGAUAGCUCCUAUAUAAUGGCACUGACAUGUUUGGACCAGCUGCUAGCCACCUUAAAUUUUCUGAUACGCCAUGAUUGUCUUCCUCAAGUUCACUUUGAACCUGCAAAUUAAUCAUAUCUUAAUUCAAUCUAACAUAGAAAUAAGAAGAAAAUUAAAAGAGAAAUAUGUUAUUCAACAACAUAUACCUUGAAGCGUAGCCAUUGAAUGAAAGUGCUAUUGUGCUUAUCCUGCAGCCACUUUGUUCUCUUUCUAAAUUUUGGAUAAGCAGUCUUGAUGUGGAUCAUAUGUUGCCUACAUGACACGAAAAAUUCAAGCAUUACGGUCCCAAAUAUAGAAGAUAAACAUAAGAAAUAAUUUAAAAUGGAAACUUAAAGAAUAAAACUCAUACGUACUCGAUAUAAGGUAGGACUUCCUCCGUAUUCUCCAAGACAUAUAGAUGUGCUUGAUUCAACAGGUCCUGAUCAACUACGCUCACUGUGCAACUUGAUAAUGGCUUUGAAAGUCCCAUCUUUUGGCUUGAAGGCACUCCAACUGUACUAACAUCAGAUAAAUGCUGAGUACAAAACUCUACCGCUUCUUCAGCUAUAUACCGCUCAGCAAUGCAACCUUCGGGACGAGUACGAUUCUGAACAUACCCCUUCAGCACUUUCAUAUAUUUUUCAAACGGAUACAUCCACCUAAAAUAUACUGGCCCACAUAGACGAACUUCUCUGACAAGAUGUACUACUAGAUGAACCAUGAUAUCAAAGAAUGAAGGGGGAAAGUACUUCUCAAGCAAACACAGAGUAACUACUAGAUCUUCUUCCAACUUAUCUAGCUUGGAAACAUCAACAGUCUUUGCACAUAUAGCAUUGAAGAAGAAGCACAAACGAGUUAUUGCAUACCUUGCAGGCUUCUCCAAAACAGAACGAAUUGCCACAGAGAGCAAUUGUUGCAUUAAGGUAUGACAAUCAUGUGAUUUAAGGCAAAGAAGACUUGAAUCUUGUAAAGAUACAAGAUUUUUAAUAUUUGAAGAAUAACCUUCAGGGACCUUCAUACCAUAGAAAGAAUUGCAAACCUCUCUCUUCUCUGCUCUGGACAAAUUCCAAGGCCCAGGAGGCAAACGAGUACGUCUUUCUCCAUACUCGGGUUGCAAAUCAGUUUUGACCCCUAUGUUCAAUAAAUCUAAUCGAGCAGCAAUCCCAUCUUUAUUUUUUCCAGGGAUCUCCAGCAAUGUACCAAUGAUACUAUCACAAACAUUCUUCUCAAUGUGCAUAACAUCUAGGGCAUGCCUCACAGGAAGGUAUUUCCAAUACUCGAGAUCAAAGAAUAUUGAUUUCUUCUUCCAACAAACUCUGUCACCAUUUUCAACCAUAUGCAGCACUUCUUCUCCGGUUAAUGGCUCGGGAGGUAUGCCAUAUUCAGGUUUCCCAUUAAAAGCUGCACGUUGCCUCCUAUAUGGAUGAUUGAUUGGUAACCAUUUUCUAUGCCCAAUGUAACAAAUUUUGUGGCCAUUUUUCAACCUGUGACUAGGUGUAUCAUCGCUGCAUAUUGGACAAGCUUUAUAUCCUUUAACAACACAACCAGAUAAGUUUUCAUAGGCGGGGAAAUCAUUAAUUGUCCAUAUUAAUGCAGCUCUGAGUGUAAAGUAUUCUCCAUUAUAUGCAUCAUACACUCCUCUAAUCCCAUCCCACAAAGAUUUUAAAUCAUCAAUCAAAGGCUCCAAGUAGACGUCUAUAUCAUUUCUGGGUUGUUUAGGACCGGAAAUCAAUAAGGUUAACAUCAUGAACUUUCGUUUCAUGCACAGCCAUGGAGGGAGAUUAUAUGUAACUAAGAUAACCGGCCAACAACUAUAUCUGCUACUUAGAGAACUGUGGGGAUUGAAUCCAUCAGAUGAAAGAGCCAAUCUCAAGUUUCUCGGCUCAUUACCAAACUCAGGCCAUUUAUCAUCAAGAAGUUUCCAAGACGGGGAAUCCGCCGGAUGAGACAUCUGACCGUCAAUUGAUUUUCUAGCAGCAUGCCAAGUCAAACUCUUAGCUGUCUCAUGUGAUUGAAACAUCCUUUUAAACCUUGGAAUUGGAGGAAAAUACCACACCACCUUCGCUGGCACACCCUCUUUCAAGAUUGAAUCUUUGCCUUCCUUCCACCUUGAGAUACCACAAGUAGGACAAUUAGUUGAAUCCUCAUACUCCUUCCUAUACAAGAUGCAAUCAUUGGGGCAUGCGUGCAUUUUCUCAUAACUCAGCCCCAAUGCACACAAAGUCUUUUUAGCCUCAUACAUGGAGGUUGGUAUUGUAUUUCCUUCUGGAAGCAAAUCGCCUUGAAGUAUCAAUAAUUCUGUAAAACAGACAUCACUCAUCCCAUGUUUUGCCUUCAAAUUAUACAACUUCACUAAUGCCGAUAACUUCGUGUACUUUCUACAACCAGGGUACACUGGUUGAUCUCCAUCCCCAAUCACAUUGGCAAACUCAUACGGAUCGGAACCAAAAUCACCAAAAUCAUUAUCAUCCAUAUCAAUUUCUUCAGACACAAAACUGUACCUACUAUGGCCAUCAUCUUCUUCAACAUUUCUACUAGCAUUAGUAGUUGCUUCCCAAGGUUCUCCGUGAAAUGUCCAAUUCUUAUAGCUUUGGUCAAUUCCAUUAAAGUAUAAGUGAUCCCUUAUAAUUCCAACCCCAAACAACUUCAAAUUAACACAUUUAACACAUGGACAACGGAUAUGUGUUGUAGUUAGAAGAUUUUCUACAGCAAAGUUCAAAAAUGCUUCCACCCCAAACUCAUAUGCCUUCAAUCUUCUAUCCGAGUGCAUCCAUGACUUAUCCAUCUCCGACACUAUAACCUAUUAUCUAUAAUAAAGUGAAAAUACAGGCAAUAACCAUCACUAUAGCAGAUUAUACAAAGAUCUAAUAGCAAGUAAUACACAACAGAGACGACGGGUUUUAAACAAAAACAGACGUAUUUGGCAUAUAUAGACAACGGAUUUUCAACAGACGUCGUCUAAUAUAAGUAAUACAAUCGUGUAAUCGUCGUCGUAUGCCUAAAAAGGCGUCGUGUCUCAGUUUAUUUUCAAGAACCCAAAACCCAUUAAGAACACAACAUAUAUAUGAAACCAAGCAAGAAACCAACAUAUACAUGAAACCAAGCAUGAAAACAAUAAAUCCAUUCCCAAUUCAACAUAACAUAGGGUGAUUAAAAGAUCCGACAAAAUUAAAUCCAUUCCCAAUUCAACAUAACAGAUAAUGUAAUCCAUGAACCCAUUAAACAGAAAAUCCAUGAACCCAUACCUAUAAGCACAUUAUUAACAGAUCGCAAAGCAUAUACCUAAAACCCUUUAACAAAACAACCUAAUAUCAUUCAAUGAAUUUACAAGGGGAAGAUAGGGUUUGUACUUACAGGUUGGACGAGCUCACAGAUUCGACGGAGCCUGGAGAGUGCAACUUUUAAUUAGAGCAGAAGUGAGAGAGCGAAAUGUUAUGUUGCGCGAAAUCUGAAAAUUUUAGGGUUCAGGGUUAGAAGUAUAAGAAUAAGAGCAAAUCUAAAAAAUUUAGGGCGCGCGAAAAUUUUUAGAGAGCGCACUCUUUAAAACGUCGAAAGAAAAACCAUGGCGAAAGUUCUACAAGAACCGACGUAAAUGUAAUAUUCCACGACGGAAACACUGAACGUAACGCCGUUUAUUUUGACGCUUCAUUUUUCGGAUUAAUUUUAAAUUUAUUUUGAAUAUUUUGAUAUAAAGACGACUGAAAAACCACGGCGGGAUUAAGAAAUUGAAAACGUUGUAAAUUAUAAUAGACGACUUACAUAUUAAAUUGACGUCGUUUAAAGUAUAAACCAUGUCGGAUAUUUUACUGCACGACGUAACAUAUGUAUUCCACGACUCAACCACCGUCGUUAAAAAUUAAUACCCUAAACCCUUAAAACUAAAUUAUAUAAUUUUAAAAAUUAAGUUUAUAAAAGGGUUUAUGGUUUUACAGCCUAAUAUAUACCCUAGACUACCCAAAAAUUAUACUUUAAAAAUAAACCCCAAUAAAUAACAACCCUAAUCUCUAAACCCUAGACUCUAAACCCUAAACCAUAAAACUAGAAGUGAUUUUAUGACUCAUCAAAACAAUUUUGUUUUGGAUGGUCAUUUUAAAUUUUUGUUAUUCAAAAUGAAUUUUUUCAAGGUUUAGCGGGAAGAAAAUAUAUCAAUGACUUCAUAGGAGUUGACUUUGCAUUUUUCUGAUUUAUUUUAAAUUUAUUUUGAAUAUUUUGAUAUAAAAAUAAUAAAAUAUUCUUAUCACAACAACAAACCACGUCGGUGUUAAUAAAUUGUAGACGUUGUAAAUUUUAAUAGACGACUAAGUUGUUAAAAUGAUGUCAUUUAAAUGAGAAACCAUGGCGGAUAUUUAACUAUCCGACGUAAAAUAUAUAUUCCACGACUUAACCACUGUCGUUACAAAGUACUACCCUGAACCCUUAAGAAAUUGAAGACGUUGUAAACCAUAAACGACUCAAUUGUUCAAAGAACGUCGUCUAAAUAUCCUUUUACGUCGGAUUUGUUUAAAACGAAACAACAAAAAACGACGGUUUUUGACUUUAUUAGGUCGUUGGAAAUGUAUUACACGUCGGUUACGCAAUUUGUAUGUUUGUUUUUUUUUUAAUUUAAGAAAACCUCAACAAAUUUUUACAUUAUAUAUUAUAGCCAAAAUUUGUACAUUAUACAUAAAUAUCAAGUGUUCAAUAAUUCCCCUAUUCCAGGUGAAGGCAAACAAACUCUGCCCAUUCAUUCCGGACUUCAUCAAUUGCUUCUUGGGGGUAUGGCGCUUCCUGUUUUCCCUUGGCAUACUGCAUAAACAAUGACUAUUAGGGUUUAUAAAUAAAAAGAAAUUCAAUCACAGACGACGAUAUUUUUCAUAACCGACGUAGUAUAUUUAUUCAACGACGGUAAUUUUACAUGACCGUCGUUGAUAAUACAAAAAACGACGUAAAAUGUAUGAAGGUAAUUUCUUCUUACCUUCUUCUCAAAUGCCAAGGAAGGAUCCAUGAUGAUGUCCCUCAUGAAGCGCAUCACAUAAUACCCGCAUUCGACACUGCUGGGUUGCUUUGGUGUGCCUGACAGAGUUUUCCAAAUUACUGCCUUACGGCCUGAUCUGGCUAUGUGAGAAUUAUAAAUUUUUAUAACACUGUUCACGAUGUUUUUGGCCUCUUCAUCGACCACACGAUUUCCUGGCAGAGGAUCCAGAAAAUAGACGGUUUCCCUCUUUGCUCUCACAAUCAGCAAGAUCCAAUGACGGCUGCACAAAAUUAAUAUAAAAACAACGGUUAUUUACAAAAACGACGUAUUAUAAUAUUUCACACGACGAAAUAAAGUAGCAAUCGACGACAUUAUAUAUUUAUCACGACGAUAAAUAACUACCGACGUGGUUAGUAGUUUCAAACGACUCAAUAAAAUAAAACACCGACGUGGUUAGUUUAUACGCUGUCAUUUAUUGAAAAUCAUAAAAACAAAAUCCUGUUAAGGAGACUAACCCUGGAUUGUAAGGCAUCAUGAAAAUCUGUUCACCGUCAGUCCUCUGAAGUCGAGCUGCUACCAGUCGUGAUCUGUCAGCUAUUGUGCCAGAGUUGGCACUAACUGUAGCAGGGUCGAUAAAGCCUACCAUGCUGCACAUAUUUGCUUGUUUCAAAACAUCGUGUAAGUACCUAAAUAUAUAAAAUAAUAUAAACAAGUCAGCACAAAAAAACACACGACGGUUACGUAUAACAAAACGACGUAUUAUAAAAUUUCAUACGACGUACUGAAAUAAACAAUGACGUUAUAAUAUAUUUAUCACGACGGUACAUACUAACGACGUGGUUAGUUAGUUAAGACGACGCAAUAACGACGGUACAUACUAACGACGUGGUUAUUUUAGAAUGACAAACCUCAUAUAUACAGUAAUGACCGUAGCUCCUAUUUCUUCCAUGCCUGCAAAUUGUGUAAUAUCUUCAGGCAGGAGGAAGGUAUCGCGUUCUAGACCAAACACCUCCUUAUCAAUUGUAAAGUUCAGGGUCUUAUCCUGAGGCACGAGUGUCGUUUCCACAUAACGACAAAGGGAUUUUAAAGAAGAUGGCGCCUCCAUAUUUGAAUAAUCAACAACUUCAAAAACCUGUUUAAAAAAAUAAAAAAAAUGACGUGGUAAUUCAAUAAAAACGACGGUUUAAGGAAUAAAACGUCGUCUGAAAAGAAUUUAAACGACGGUGAAAAAACCGUCGUGGUGAAUAAUUUAUUACGUCUUAAAAAAAAUUCCGCCGUCUAAAUUGUAAACAAACGACGGUUUAAAGAAAAAUAUCGACGUCUGAAAUUUUGAAAAACAAAUAAAAGAGGCAAAGUUAUGUGAACAUACCUGGUCGUCAUGCUUUUCUUCAUCUUCUUUCUCCUUUUCAUCUUCUUUUUCUUCUUUCUUCUCUUCAUCUAUUACGUCAGGAAUGACUAACCCCGUCGUCUAAAAACCACAAAGUUUUAAAAAUAACGACGUUUAAUGGCGUGUAAAACAAGUAAACUAAAUACGACGUGGUAUUGAAAUACAAACGACGGUUUAUUUUUAAAAUCGUCGUGGUAUGUAUUUCAAACGACGGUUUAUUAAUAAUAACGACGUCUAAUAGUUUUUAAAAAAACAGAGAAUUCAAAGUUCAGAUAUGUUACCUUUUCUUCCUGAUGUUUCCCAUUUUUGGCAGUAUCAUCCUCAAAAUGUAGGGAUCUCACAUCACCUCCAGAGCAGCUUGCUUUGUCAGACAUUGGAUUUUUGGGACUUUGGCUAAUUCUUGGUUUAAGCAUGCUUGGAUCAAAAUUGGGAAUUAAUUGGGAAAGCUGACUCAGGAAAUGCUCCCUCUCAGCCUCUACCAAUUGCUUGGUUCUAGCCUCCAUCCUUAAAGCCUCUUCCCUUGCCUUAGCUUCCAUCUUUUUAUUCUCUUCUUGAAGGAGAACUCUUAAACUGUCCUUUAAACGGUCGUCAAAGCUCAUCCUCUGUGGUUUGGGUAAAUUGAAAUAUUGCCUUGGGGAAAUCCCAGCACCUACCCCUCUCACUCUGCCUGGAUGCUCGGGGCCCAAAGCCAUGGUCAGCACAUCAUUGCUGCCAGAUACAGUGACUUUGCCUUCCGAGACUUGUUUUUGUAAUUCAUCCUAAAACAAAGAUAUAUAAAAAAGUAAGAACAAAAAACACACGACGGUUAUUUAUAUACAAACGACGUAUUAUAUAAUUUCAGACGACGCAGUAACAUAUAAAUCGACGUUAUUAUAAUUUAUCACGACGGUAGUUAUACCGACGUGGUUAGUUUUUUAAAACGAUGAAAUGAAUAAACCACCGACGUCUUAUGCUAUAAUUACAGAAAACAGAGUAGUGAUUCCCGAUUCAGACCUUUAACGACGUUUUUUAAAAAAUUUCGACGUGGUAAUAUCAUUCACACGACGCAAAAUAUAACAUAAGACGUAAUAAGAAUUAUUCACAGUUUAAUAAAAAUUUAAAACAGAGUGAGUAGGCUUACAAUUAAUUUUGCUUUCUCUGCCACCUUUGGAUCCGGGAUGUUACCAUGUUUAUCCUGUCUAGCUCUCUUCCAUAAGGUAGAUCGAUCAAUUUCUACCCCAGGCAUGGUUUCCUCCAAUUGAUCCUCCAAACCAGCAUAUCCUUUUCGAGACAAUCGAUGAUUGUACUCAAGUUUCUCCCUAAUCUGUGCAUGUUGAGAAUGCACAGACUCAAAAUCUUUGGAUAACCUUGAAGCUACAAAGGCAUCCCAUUGUGCUUUCUCUAUGAAUUUAUAUGUUUCAGGGGGUUGGCUUAAUCUCUCCCUGUCAUUGGUGUAUGGAAGGAUAUAAUGCCUCGUUAGUGUAGACUUGAAAUCCUUCCAUUUCUUGGCAGCAGAAGCUAACACAGAGUUCUUGCCCCCUUGACCUACCACACAAGCAAUGUCAACUGCUUCCCAAAUCUGCUCCUUUAUAUCCUUGGGGAUUUGAGCCCAUUUCAUGUCCACAAGUGGAACUCUGGAGCGUGCCAACACACCAAUGUAGGACUGCAUCUCACUAUGUGCUUGGCCAAUUCCUUUCCCCCUUUUAUUGUACUCAACAAUUGGCCUGAGUUUCUGAAGUUUUCUCUUCACAACACGAGGCAUUGUGCUCAUACCUCGACCAGACUUUGAAUCAUCAGAGAUUGUUGUCGUGCUGGUUGGUUCUGUCUCAGCAGAUGAUGAAGCAAACUUCAUCUUCUUCGAAGACUUCAUCUUCUUCGAAGACUUCUCUUCAGGAGUUACCAUUCCAAGCUCCUUACCUCCAUUUUUCUUGGAGCCAGAGUCCUUACUUUGGUCUUGGUGAGAAACUAUUUUUACAGACAAAACUGCAAGUGAAAAUAUUUCAGGAAAAGAUUAAGAACACAAACGACGGUUAUUAAUAAAAUACGACGUAUGAUAUGAUUUUAAACGACGCAAUGAAAUAAUCUCAGACGUAAUAAAUGUUUAAAACCAAGGUAAUUAAACAACGAUGAAAUAAUAUAAAAUAAGACGUAAUAAUAACUUAUUACGUCGAUAUUUACCAGACGACGUGAUAAUUAACUAUAAACGACGAAAUAUUUAUAUAACGUCGUGGUAUUGAUGUUCACACGACAUCAAUAGUAAUAUACCGUCGUCUAUAUAAGGAUCCAAAACCCUUCUUUCUUUCUCUGUGAAUGUUUGAUUGCAUAUUUGAUUUUUCUGAACCAUGGUUUUUGUUUUCUAAUUUGAUAAAAUACAAGGCCAAGAAAGAAAGUUUUGGAAUCUUAUAUAGACGACGGUAUUUUAAUAUGACGUCGUGGUAUUAACAUUCACACGACGUAAAACAAUAAGAUACUGUCGUCUAUAUUAGAUACCAACCCUACUUUCUUUUUCUUUAUAUUUUAUCAAAUUAGGGAAAAACAAAAACCAUUGUUCAGAGAAAUCAAACCUGCAAUUAAACAAGCAAAUAAAAAAAAAGACUAUAAUUUUAAAAACAACUUUGUCAAUUUUCAGACGACGCUAGAACGACUGACGAACCGUCGUGGUCUACAUAUUUAACCACGUAAAUAAGAAGCUACCGUCGUCUUAUUUAGUUGAGGUAGUUGUCUUCAAAGUUGGAAACUUUCCCUCUUUGUCUGUAUAUGUUAUCGAACUUGGAAAGAAGUAAAAUGAUUUUGGCCAGAAAAAAGGUAAAAAGAUUUUUCAAACAAAAAACGUAUGAGCAUGCAAAACAGCAACCAAAAUAGUGAAAAUGAAAGCUUACCUUUUGCGUGCAAUGAAAGCAAGAGGAAGAUUAUGUUUAAGUUCAGAGACGACGAAGAAGACGAGAGGAAGACGAUGAGAUACUCUGACAGUGCUCUGACAAGGAAAAAAGUCUAAAAGUUUUCUCUGGAAGAUUGAAAUUUUUAAUCGGGUUUGGAAACAGCGCAUGUGUAAGUCAGGUAGACGAAAAGUUGCUUACAUAUAAAACCAUUUCAAAAAAAUAAUACGGCGGUUAUAUAUAACUACGACGUAUAAAUUACAAAAUACGACGGUACAUUUAACUUCGGACGUGGUAAAUAAAUACGACAGUAGUGUUGUAGGUACCGUCGUAGUAAACUCAAAAAUUAAAGUACAUAAGUAAUAACUCGCGUCAUGGUAGAUUAUUUAACAUGUCGUUUUUAUUAAUGUACCGACGUGGAUUUUUGUAAUAUACGUCAGUCAUACCGACGUUGAUUUUACAAUAUAAACGGCGGUUUUUUUGUAAGGACCGCCGUUGGUUUUAAAAAUUUAUUCUAUAAAUUUGUCGCUUUCAUUCAUUUUCGGUUUACAUUUAGGGUUCCAAGUUCUUCCUCUCUCAGAGACACUGUCUCUCACGUCUCAAAGACAAUAAUUUGGAUGUCUUUCUCAAAGAGAAAUUGAGCUUACUCGCAUCAAAUAUAUGUCCACAAGAAGAAGCUUGUCAACUAGCCUUCUCACUUCCUUGAUCAAGCCUGAUAGGACACUUAGUGCUUCUGAAUACUCCUUGCUUUCCAUCAAAAGAGAUGCAAGCCUGGCCUCCACUCGCUGUCGAAGGAAAGUUCGCUUCUCAGGGAAAUCUGCUUGAUUUUCUUAGCUAAGAAGAUCCGUCAGAUUUGUGAUAGCCUCUUCCUUUAUCCGUAGAGCUUCAGAAGAAGAAGAUGGGUUUCAAGAAUGCGAUAAUGAAUAGAAAUGGCUUCAGAUGACCUCUAAAGCAUGAGCAAUCGAAUCAGUAGUUGCUGGGAGAUAUGAUGAAGACAUUGUCAAUGCUUUGAACUAUACAAGUCCUGCAGAAAGAUAAAGGACCAAACUGUUAAAGAAACUGAAACAACGGCGGUUUUCUGUUCUACCGUCGUCUUUUCUCAUCGUCUAUAUUAAGGUAAGAUGGCGGUAGAUUUAUAAUUACCGACGUAGAUUAUUUUGUUAAACGUCGUUAAGUGUACUACAACCGACGUGGAAAUUUAAAAUAAGGGAAAUUAAUGUUCUAUAAUUUGUAAACUAACACGACGCAAUAUUACCAACCCGAGGAAAUUAUAAAUAGAUUUUGCUUUCCCGAAGAAAUUUUAAAUUAAUUCAGUUUGAAACAACGACGGGUUUUUGUUAUGCCGUCGUUUUUAACUAACACGACGCAAUAUUUAUUUUGCGACGUGGAAUCUUUUCAUUUAACGUCGUUAGGUUUAAUAUAACCGACGUGGAUUUAAAUUUUUAAAUUAUGAAUAGAAUUUUUUUUUCCGUGACCUUUCAGUUUAUUUUUCAAUUACAGUGCGUUAUAAAUAGAGUUUUUUUUUUCCGGAGGAAAUUUAAAAUGAAGGAAAUUAAUGUUCUGGAAUAUGUAAAGUUUCUUUUUUGGAUGACAGAUUUAAAUAAAAUAAGAAUAUAAAAACAACGACUGUUUUUGUAUUACUGUCGUCGUUUUUCGUCGUCUUAAGUAAGACUAAGACGACGUAAUAUAUUUGUUGAGCGACGUUGAUUUGUUUUUUAAACGUCAUUAGGUAUAAUAUAACCGUCGUUGAAAAUUGUCUCUCUGAUUGCAAAUUUGCAACGACGUUAGGUAUAAUAUUUGUAGAUACACAAACGCGCACACAUCAUCAACUUCCAAAAAAUUGUCUCUCUGAUUGCAAAUCUAUGUCAUCUGUUAAGAUUAUGAUGUGGAACAGAGUUCCAUCUGGUAAGAUUUCCUAACCCUUGGGAUCUCAGACAAAUCUGAUUAUGUCGGCGGUUUUCUAUAUAAACCGUCGUGGUUAUUUCAAUUCUUGUCAUUAAGUAGAUCUACCGAUGUAGGAUAAGAAAAUCAAAGAAAAAAAUUGUUAACAAAAAUUCUUAUUAAGACGACGGUUUAAAUUAAAGGUACGACGUAUAAAAUGAAUAAAUACGACGUUAAAUUUUAUUGUACGAUUUAAAGAUAACGUCGUAGAACUAUACGAGAAUGACGUCGAUAUAUUUAUAUUUUCCGUCGUUGUACAUUAAUUUAAUACGGCGAUAUUUUGUAUUUUAAAGCCGUGGAUUUGUUUGUAAUUAUACGGCGUCUUAUACGAAAACCUCGUCGUGUUAUUUUAUGAGUAAAAACGGCGGUUUUUAUUGAAAUCGUCGUCUUUACUUUCUAUGUCGGUCGAUUCAUAACUUUUGCCAUUCUUUGUUGGCAUUGAUUUUACACUGCGGAAAUCUGUUUCAAAUAGACGUCGGUUGUUUAAUUAGGUACGUCGUUGUUUUUGAACAGCCAUUUGAAUCUCCAUUUUUUAGUUGUCUAAGGUUGUAUUACACGACGGUGUUUUUAGAACCGUCGUCUUUUUAAAAACCACGACGGUUUUCACUUAGACCGUCGUUGUUUUCUGGUCGUCUUUUUCACUUUUUGUAGUAGUGUGGUAUCAGAGUACCAGCUAUUAACAUAAAUAGAGAGAUCUUUUGGGUGCUAAUUGGUAUUAGGUGUGCAAAAAUAAAAAUAGAUCAAAUUGCUCCUUGCAUUCAUGAUGAGCUUGCCUUGUUUGUUAAGAAUUAUAGAAUGGUUGUCAAAGAUAAAACCAAAGUCACUAGGAAUUGUCAGAAUCUUCCUCGUCUACAUGUGUGUCUCAAGACAAUGUUUUUGAGGAGAUGAAUUUUUUGGACUCUUAUGGCUUUAGAGAGAACAAAAGUUUGAAGGGUCUUAUAAAGUGCUAUCUAUAUGGUGGUACUGGUCACAUUGAUAUGGAAUGUGCAAAUAACCACAUAACAGAGUCUAAUGGGAGAGAAGAGUCAAUUAGUGCACAAUGGAGUGAUAAUGAUAGUGAUGAUUCUAAUAACUAUAUCACUUCAUCUUAUGAAGAGGCAAAUAAUUUUGCCCUUGUUGGUUCUGUUCAUAACUCUAGCCUUGCUAGAGUUCAUGUAGUUAAGGAAUGAAAAUCUAAUUCAGGAAAUGAAUCUGUGUCUGGAGAUGAUAGACAGGAUGACUAGUCAUACAGGGAACAUGAUGACCAGUCAUACAAGGAACAGGAUGACCAGUCAUACUUGGGUAUGUGUGAAAAGUAUGAUGUCUUUUUUACUGAAAAUUCCAAGUUUAAGGAAAGAAAUCUCUUACUAGAAGGGAAGGUAAAGAACCUGGAAAUUCUUAAUUGCACUUUUAAAGAAGCAAAUAAUGAAUUGAGUGAAAAUGUUGAGACCUUUGAGAGUGAAAGGGAUUCAUUGAUUGUCAUUAAAAAUGACAUUUCAAACCAAGUGAAUGUGCUCAAGGAAAACAACUUGAUUUUCCAAGCCUCCAACAAGAAUUUGUUGACUCAGAUAAAUGAGACAAAUGACACGGUGAUCAAGCUUACCAUAGGGGCUAAAAAAGUGAAUAAAAUGUUAAAUAUGAGUAAGGUUCAUGGAGACAAAACUGGUUUUGGUUAUGGUUGUUCUAGUUUAUGUGUUCCUCCUCCUUUGACCACAUUUGUCAAGGAGUCAAAUACAAGGUUUGAUGUUUUAGAGCCAACUAGGACUCAAAGAUUCAUUCCUACUUGUCACCAUUGUGGUGUGAAAGGUCACAUUCGACCUAGGUGUAAUGCUCUAAGGAAUGUGUCUAGAGCAACCAAUGCAAAUGGCUUUAAGAACCAUGUUUCAUCUCUUAAAACAUGUGAGCUUGCAAAAUCUAUUCUUUGUAAAAGGGAUAAACCUUCUUCACUUACAAAAUUUGGUUUCCCAAAACCAAAAAGGUUCUUUCCUACUUGCCAUCAUUGUGGCACAUUAGGACACAUAAGACCAAAGUGUUUUGAGCUUAGAAAUUUUGAGAAAAAGUCUUUUGUUGAUUUCAAGAAAGUAAAUGAUGACUCACUUCAAACUCAAGUGAAUGAUCUUCUUUAUAAAGUUGUCAAAAUUCCUAAGUUGAUCUCUUUACCUCAUAAAGUUUCAAAACUGAAGCAAGUUUGGGUCAAGAAGAAAGACCAUGUUCUUCUUCAUGUUAGUGACUAGUUUAUUCGUGUUAUGUAUCUAGACCAUUCUCUUGUUUAUGCGUGCUUCAUGGAGUCUAGAUACAUUGUCAUGUAUAUGCAUUUUACUUGUUAUUUUCUUUAUUUUGGUCUCAUAAUUUCACCUUGUGCACAUCAUUCAUCUCUCACAGUACUUUGGAUCUCAUAUUCCUUCAAACUUCAUGAUGUGUGAGAUCUUGUAGAUGUUUGACUAAUUGACUUAAGGUAUUUUCUUACAUAAGAGAUCUUGGUGAAAAUAAUGUCUUGAAAUUUGCGCAUAUUGAGAAGCAACUAGCUGUUUUUUAACUCUCAACCGCUAGAUACUUGAAGGUAUUGAUUUCCUUCAAAGAUCUAUUGGGUUGUCCAAAAUGGAUUAACUUGUGUUUUCAAUUUCAUGUGCUUACAAUCUGAAUUUCCAUUUUGUUAGUGUUAAAAAAAAAAUUUGCAUAUAAGCUCUCUUCUCUCAAAAUGCAUGAUUCUUAUGAGUGGGAGUCUUUUCAUGAUGUUGUAGAUGUGAAAGAGUUUUCCCCAUUCUUGUCUACAAUUUUGAGCUUUUUUAUUGAAUAUACUUGUGUUGCAUGAUAUGCUUUGAGCUAUCUAUAAAGUGUCUAAGAUCACUUCCAGUUGUCUCUCUACCUUGAUCUUUUGAUCCAUUUGGAAAUCGAAAUGCAAAUAAAUUGUUGGGUAAAAGCCUUGGAAAUGCAUUGUCCACAAAUAUAGAAAAAGCAUUUUCGGACAAGCAAGUGUGCUAUACUUAUUUUUUUUUUAAAGGUAAAAGCGCUUGGAAGAGCAUUGUACACCCACAAAUAGAAAAGCAAAAUUGUACAAGCAAGUGUGCUAUGCCUUUCUAAAAUAUUGAUAAAUGUCAACUUUUGGAUCACAUUUCUUGGUAGGGUUUAUGCCUUGAUUUCUAGAACUUAUAUUAGAUUUGAUGCUUGGAAAGUCUCAUGCAACUCUUGGAAAUCAUUAUUGAAGCUCAUAUUGAAUUAGGCCUCCUUUUUCCCAAACUCCUUACUCUAUGCUUUAUGAGAGGUUCUAACUUAUGUAUCUCAUUGAUUUUGGGAAUUGAGUGCAUACAUUGCUUUGGCAUGUUAAUCUUUGUAGUUCAACUAUUUCCCACUUGUGUUUUUCCAAAUAACCUAAGCACAUGUUAUGGAGAUGCAUGUUAUUCUAUUGCAUGACGUUUUUCUAAUCCAAAUUCUAGUUGCUUCCAUCUCAAUAUGGCUUAUUAUGCUUUGAUAUCUCUUUGUAUGCUAUGCUUUGGGUCAAUGUGUUUCAUGCUAGCUUUCUGGAAAUCAUUUCUACCUCGCAUGACUAGUCAUCCAAUCUAGCAUUCUUUGUGUCUCACUGAUUCAUUAUUGGUUGCAUUUUUGUUGUGUUAUUUGUUGUGCUUAAGGGGACUCUACACUUUAUGCAUUCGAGCACUUUUCUUUUAAUGUGGUUUGGACUGUUUUGAGUCUUAUUGUAUGCAUUUGUGACCAUACUUUGGAGUCAUUGACUACUUGGUAGUCUUUCUUGUAUCUCUUUGGCUGUGAUAAUCCAUACUUUGCUUUAGCGAAGCAUCUUCAUUGACAUGUCAUGGGUUUGGUCACACAAUUGAGAAUUCUGUGAGUUUUCUUGUUUAAGUAAUGUUGGUGUUUGUUUUCUGAGCCCAUAUGACUAGUCAUAUAUACCAUUAGUCACUGGUAUCAGUUUGGUCUUAAGGUAUUUAGUCCUUCUUGGAUUUGACCCAUGUUACCAUAUGUGACAUGGUUGUCUUUAUUGUGGUUUCCUUAAGUCACUUUUGAGUAGACUUCUGUUGAUGUUGUUGCUUUAUGCAACUCGAAUGAUGAUUGUCUUGGCUGCAAUCUCCUGUUUUGAAUUUAUAGGUCUAUUGCACUUUGUGAUUUUUCCAUUAAAGGGAGCUUGUUAUUUACUUGUCCUUGGAACACUUUGUUAUGUAGUGAACUGCUUACUUCUUCUUAGGAUUGAUCUCGGUUAUGGAUUUCCUUUAUUAUUUAGAGCUUUAGUUCUCAGCACUUAGACUUUGGCUAUAGGAGGAAAGUCCAUUCUUGUUUUGAAGAGGAGUGGCUUAUGCAUUACCCUAGCUUACUUUAGAUUUGCUUGGGUGUGAUUGUUGUUUUUCCUUGGUGACAUGCAUUCUUUGGUUAAUUUCACAUCUUUCUUUGUGUCAAAGGUUUUGUACGUUAUUUUCAUCUUGGAAUGUCUUCUUUAUUAUGUGCAUUGAAAUUAAAUUCAGCCACUUGAUUUUAAUUGCUUUAGGUAUGAUUCCUUGCAACUUGUGCUCCAUUUCUUAUUCUUUUUAGUCUGAUGCACUUUUGUGUUUGUUGGCUAUUUAUGGACAGUUUGCUGGAUUAGUACAUCAAAGGUUAAUUCCUUUAUGUUAUAUGAUACUCAGGGGGAGUAUUUUUGGACAGGUUGGGUGGUAUAUUUUUGUAAUCUCAUUGUGCGGAUCUUUUUGCUUGGGUAGUCUGUGCAACUUGAUAGGGGGAGUUGUCUUGUAUUGUUUUGAGCAAAUGUUGUUUUGCUUUGUAAUCAAACCGUGUCAUGUGCAUAUUGUUCAAAUCUGAUUAUGUGACUUGUGUUUAAUUCACUUGAUUACUGUUUCUCUAUAUUUGCCUUUUUGCUCUUUCCUUAUCAACAAGGGGGAGAACACUCUCAACCCCAUAUUGCAUAUAUUGCAUAUUGCUUCAAAUUUCUGUGAUAUAAUAUGCUUGUCUUGUGCCUGGGAGUUUGGUUGUUGUUUUGCAGGUACUUCAUUUCAUCAUCUCCAUAGGUUUAGUUUUGGGUUGAGUGUAUUUAGAGAGUGUGUUGUCAAGGAAAGCCAAAAAGAGGGAGAUUGUUAAUGUAUGCAUUUUGAGUUUUUUCUUUUGGCUUCCCUUGACAAUUUUGUAACAGGAAAAUCAUUGUAGUUUCCCAAGCUCUAAGUUUAGAUUAAGAAUUACUUCUCUAGGUGUUCUUAUCUGCCUACAUUCUGAUGGAAAACAAUGCGUUUGACAAAGGUAAAUUUUGCAUUACACUACAUUGCAUUCACUAAAUUUCUGAAGAUUAUGACUAGUCAUCUUUCCUUCGUAUGACUAGUCAUCUUUCCUUCGUAUGACUAGUCAUCUUUCCUUCAAUUAGGAUUUCCAGCUCACUAUUUCCAACUGGGGCUUAACCAUUUUUUUUUGUCCUUUUCUAUGAAUUUCUCAGCUGUCAUGUGUCUAUUCUGACCUAGGAAUUUUUGGUAAAAGCCAAAGAAUUCCUCAUUUGGCAGCCGUCACUUUUGUAGGCAAGUUUUGGAAAGUUUCUCUGUAAACUUUCUCUUUUUCCUCAAGUGUAACCUUCAUAUUUUUCAUCUUUGAGUUUUCCAAAAUGUUCCUUUUCAAAAACUGCAUUUGAAAUAUGAAAACAUCAUCUUGCUAGAUCAAACACUCUCUCAUAUAUAUCUAGGUCAGAUUCAAGAUUGAUUUCUUCAAGAGUAUGGUUUCUUGAAGAAAUUGGUCAUUCUCCUUCGAAUCCAAAUUUUGGUUUCUGUCUGAGUUGGAGCUUACAAGCUGGUGCCAUGGGAUGAAUGAGCUGGAGAAGGAGCUGUCAUUGCCAUGAAGAACUGAGCUUCAAGCUUUGCUAAGUUGGAGAAGAAGAUUGCACAAAGGAGGUAUAGCUCAUCUUCCUAAAUAGAUCUAGGUUUUUCUUGAGCUUGCUUGUGUUCCUUUGUAAGAAUCUUUUUCUACUUAGUGGAUUGCCUGGUCGAUUGAUGAACCCCAGUUUUUCCCAAUGGUGGGUUUCUGGGUGAACAAUUUCUGAUUGCAUCUCUGUAAUUUUUCUGGGUUUGUGUUCUUGGUGGUUGACUAGUCAUCGUAUGAAUUGUGGUUGACUAGUCAUUGUAUGAAUUCUGGGUUUGUGUUUUUAGUGGUUGACCAGUCAUUGUAUGAAUUCUGGGUUUGUGUCCUUAUAGUUGACUAGUCAUCAUUAUCUGGUAUUUGGUGUUUACUUGAUUAUGAUGAUUUCACACACUUUCACCAUAGUUGUUGCUAGCACAGUGGAUGCCUAGAUUGACGGGUCCUUCUGAGUGCCUAGGUUGUCACUAGUAAUCUUCUAGGGUUGCAGGUACAUUGUGGCAUGCUCUGUGUGUAUUCUUGAUUGUGGUUGUUCAUGCCUAGCAGUUGACUAGUCAUAAGUGUACUUGGUCAAGGUCUAAAGUGUGUGAAGAUUGUUGCCUUUUGUUUAGGUGUCGUAAAAGUUAACCCUCGUCACCUAAGUACCAAUUUCACCUACCAUGUGAGAAUGUGGAAUUGAGUGACAUUGAUCUCAAGUACACUGGAGACAAAGGUCCUAUUACCUCUGUGUGUUCUAAUGUCAAGCCGACAAUUAAUCGCAUGGCACAGCCUCUUGCUUGC
rnacentral:lncRNA from 1 species